AAGUGUUUGCACUGUAUAAACAACGUUAGCUGAAAGCAUGUUUAUUUUUAAAAGAGCUCCUGCUCUUCUGCACAUUUCCAUAUCUAGAGAUGAAAACUCCUGAAUUUGAAGUCACACGCACAGGUGGAAUACAGCCUGAAGUCAAGGCCUUGCUAGUAAAUGAAUCUUUGUCCAUAGUUACGAUUUCUGGCUGCCUGGACAUCAAGUAAACAUAACACUAAAGAAGCUGGAGAUCACAUCCUGCUACUAACAAUUUUUCUGUGCAUCCUUUUCAAAAAUUGAAAAUUUUUAGAUCACAAGGCAGAAUUUAGUAAUUUUAUGCUUCUGUAAAUGUCUAGCAUUUUAAACUAAGUACAUUGUUUUGGACACUGGAAUAAUAUGAUUUAUUUUCACCUGUAAAGAUGACUUCAUUGUACUUGAACACCUUUGCAUUUCUCCAUUUGUGCCAUUUACAAGUGGAAAUAAAUUGUAUUAUACCAUGAUCUACUGGUGUUUUAAAACUGUUACAUGUGCACAUUUUGGGUAUAGCUAUUUUCAUUUGUAUGUAUAUAUUGUAUAUACAUAUGAGUGUUUAUAUGUUUGUAUAGAUGGAUGGAUAUAACUCAUUUUAAACAUGUCUGCCAGGGCUCAAGUUUUAUUGUUGUCCCCCACCUCUCCCGCCCCAUGUUACAGCAAGAGUGAGUACUCUGGGUUGAUACUUAUGGAAGGUGAUGAGUAGAUACAUUCUCUCUAUCCCUUUAGCACUUGUAUGCCUGAGGAGAAAGUUAAAUCAACUAUGAAACCAUAAGUUACAAUGCAGUAAAAGUGUGCUAGGGAAGGAGCCAGUUAUUCUUUGAGUUUGUUUUACAAUGCAACUAAAAUUACAAGCUGCAGAGAGAAAUGAACUCUGCAAUGAACACUGGUAGUAAUUGUUCUGCAGAGGUUAAGAGAGCCACUGAGUCACAGUCUUCACGGACUUAGGGUCUCUUAGUGUUGGUCCCAUGAUCCUCAUUUGCUUUUUAUCCCUAAUACUAAUAGUCAUGUUUAUUGUCGAGGGUCAAGACUGCCAAGCAAAGAAUUACAACUAAAACACAACCGAGGCUCUCCUCAGCUGUAAAAUGAGCAGGAGAUGAUCACCCAGGGAAGGUAGACUGGUUUGAAGGGCUGCCUCCUUUUGACUUACCUUCUUGCUAACAGUAAGUUCUUUGUGCACCUUCUACCCCUUCUGAUUCAAUACUGUUCAAGCAGAGAUUUGGUCUGACACAACAUGCCUUCUUAGUUUUGCUUCUUUUCUCUCGAGACAUGUAUCCUUUCUGAUGGAGUAAUUGAUGUUUAGCCAAGGCUGGCCUCAAAUUCCUAGCAGUCUUUCUGUAAGCCUCUCAAGUACUGGGAUUAUAGGCAUGAGCUACCAUGCCAAUAGCCACAGCAACCCAUUCUUUUUGGAGGUUUUAUAGUUUUGCAUUUGUCUCAUGUUCAGAAUGUGAAGUGUCCUAAUGUGUAUUAAAGUCAGAAAAUAAUAUAUUUAAGGGCUACUAAGUGUGAAUCUGCUAUAAUGAUGGAAGAAAUAGUCUUAAGGAGCAUUGGGCUGUCAUCUUUGAGCUGCUUAUCAAAAUACAGAUCAUUAUUGAAUAUAAACAAAUUCUGUUUUAUUUUGUCCCUAAUAACAGAAGUCUCCCUUCCAUGGUUUUAGCAUUGCCUUUUUAAAAAGGCACUCACCCUGAGUUGUUACAAACUGGAAAUUUCUCACCCUCAGAUUCCUUAAAGGAUGAAGAGUGUGCUGUCCACUCAGCAUAUGUGCCUCUUGUAUGCAAGGACUACUGAUGGAAGUCUGUUUUGCUGUGUCUGGUUAUGUUGUCUGCACUUUUAUGAAAUCACUACAGUAGAUCUACGUUGGAAAUAACUAUUAAUUUGUAAAGAAAAUUUUAUUAAACACUGUAGAAAAAGUGAAGCUGAGAA
rnacentral:lncRNA from 1 species